rnacentral:rRNA from 1 species
AUUGAACGCUGGCGGCAGGCCUAACACAUGCAAGUCGAGCGAGCGGCGGACGGGUGAGUAAUGUAUGGGGACUGCCCGAUAGAGGGGGAUAACUACUGGAAACGGUAGCUAAUACAGCAUACUAUCGGAUAACCCAUAUGGGAUUAGCUAGUAGGUGGGGUAAUGGCUCACCUAGGCGACGAUCCCUAGCGGGUCUGAGAGGAUGAUCAGCACAUCUGGAACGUAGACACGGCCCCGACUCCAACGGAGGCAGCAGUGGGGAAUAUUGCACAAGGGGCGCAAGCCGGAUGCAGCCAUGCCGCGUGUAUGAAGAAGGCCUUAGGGUUGUAAAGUACUUUCAGUGGGGAGGCUUUACUCACAGAAGAAGCACCGGCUAACUCCGUGCCAGCAGCCGCGGUAAUUC